rnacentral:lncRNA from 1 species
AGCAACAAACAUUUCCACCACAACAACCAUAUCCGCAGCCGCAACCAUUUCCAGGACAACAACCAUAUCCGCAGCCGCAACUAUUUCCACAGCCGCAACCUUUUCCGCCACAACUUCCAUAUCCGCAGCCGCAACCAUUUCCCCCACAACAACCAUAUCCACAACCGCAAACACAUCAUCUGCAACCACAACAACCAAUUUCGCAGCAACAAGUACAACAACAACAACAACAACAACAACAACAACAACAACAACAACAACAACAACAACAACAACAACAACAACUACUACUACAACAACAAAUCCUUCAACAAAUUCUGCAACAACAACAACUGAUUCCAUGCAGGGAUGUCAUCGUCUUGCAACAACACAACAUAGCGCAUGAAAGCUCACAAGUAUUGCAGCAAAGUAGUUACCAAGUGUUGCAACAAUUAUGUUGUCAGCAGCUGCGGCUGAUCCCCGAGCAGUCGCGGUGCCAAGCCAUCCACAAUGU